rnacentral:rRNA from 1 species
UUGGUUAAGUUAGAAAGGGCGCACGGUGGAUGCCUUGGCACUAGGAGCCGAAGAAGGACGGGACUAACACCGAUAUGCUUUGGGGAGCUGUACGUAAGCGUUGAUCCAGAGAUUUCCGAAUGGGGGAACCCACUAUCUUUAGUCGGAUAGUAUCCUUACGUGAAUACAUAGCGUGAGGAAGGCAGACCCAGGGAACUGAAACAUCUAAGUACCUGGAGGAAGAGAAAGAAAAAUCGAUUUCCUGAGUAGCGGCGAGCGAAACGGAAAGAGCCCAAACCAAGAAGCUUGCUUCUUGGGGUUGUAGGACACUCUAUACGGAGUUACAAAAGAAAGUUAUAAAUGAAGCGGUCUGGAAAGGCCCGCCAAAGACGGUAACAGCCCGGUAGUUGAAAUGGCUUUCCCUCCAGAGUGGAUCCUGAGUACGGCGGAACACGUGAAAUUCCGUCGGAAUCCGGGAGGACCAUCUCCCAAGGCUAAAUACUCCCUAGUGACCGAUAGUGAACCAGUACCGUGAGGGAAAGGUGAAAAGCACCCCGGAAGGGGAGUGAAACAGUUCCUGAAACCGUGUGCCUACAAGUAGUUAGAGCCCGUUAAUGGGUGAUAGCGUGCCUUUUGUAGAAUGAACCGGCGAGUUACGAUUUGUUGCAAGGUUAAGCGGAAAAAGCGGAGCCGUAGCGAAAGCGAGUCUGAAUAGGGCGCAUAAGUAACAGGUCGUAGACCCGAAACCAGGUGAUCUACCCAUGUCCAGGAUGAAGGUAAGGUAAUACUUACUGGAGGUCCGAACCCACGCACGUUGAAAAGUGCGGGGAUGAGGUGUGGGUAGCGGAGAAAUUCCAAUCGAACUUGGAGAUAGCUGGUUCUCUCCGAAAUAGCUUUAGGGCUAGCCUCGAGGUAAAGAGUCAUGGAGGUAGAGCACUGUUUGGACUAGGGGCCCUUCUCGGGUUACCGAAUUCAGAUAAACUCCGAAUGCCAUGUACUUAUACUCGGGAGUCAGACUGCGAGUGAUAAGAUCCGUAGUCGAAAGGGAAACAGCCCAGACCACCAGUUAAGGUCCCCAAAUAUAUGUUAAGUGGAAAAGGAUGUGGGGUUGCUUAGACAACCAGGAUGUUGGCUUAGAAGCAGCCACCAUUGAAAGAGUGCGUAAUAGCUCACUGGUCGAGUGACCCCGCGCCGAAAAUGUACCGGGGCUAAACAUAUUACCGAAACUGUGGAUGAACCUCUUUAGAGGUUCGUGGUAGGAGAGCGUUCUAAGGGCGGUGAAGUCAGACCGGAAGGACUGGUGGAGCGCUUAGAAGUGAGAAUGCCGGUAUGAGUAGCGAAAGAAGGGUGAGAAUCCCUUCCACCGAAUAUCUAAGGUUUCCUGAGGAAGGCUCGUCCGCU